rnacentral:rRNA from 1 species
GACGAACGCUGGCGGCGUGCUUAACACAUGCAAGUCGAGCGGAGCGGCGAACGGGUGAGUAACGCGUGAGUCACUGCCCCCCUCUCUGGGAUAACAGUUGGAAACGGCUGCUAAUACCGGAUAGUGGGGGAUGACUCGCGUCCUAUCAGCUUGUUGGUGGGGUAGUGGCCUACCAAGGCGACAACGGGUAGCCGGCCUGCGAGGGCGCACGGCCACAUUGGGCUGAGAUACGGCCCAGAGUCCUACGGGGGGCAGCAGUGGGGAAUAUUGCACAACGGGGGAGACCCUGAUGCAGCAACGCCGGGUGUGGGAUGACGGCCUUCGGGUUGUAAACCGCUUUCAGCCAUGACGCGGUAGUGGCAGAAGAAGCACCGGCUAACUACGUGCCAGCAGCCGCGGUAAUAC